UUUUUUUUUUUUUUUCGAUGUUUAACCUACUCAGUCUUGGUACUUUGUUACCAUAGAUCUAGCAAACCAGUACACUGACAAAACAUCUUGGAUGUCCCAAUUUCACAAUCAAUUUAUAGGCUGCACAGUAGACUCUCAUACAUAAGAGGUUCUAAGAGCAAAUUGGUAUGAGCACAAUUUUGGGACCUCACAGGUACUGCCUACAGUCAAUGCCUUGAAGAUGUGUCUCCUGUAUGUCGUUUGUUUGUUUGAUUUCUGUGGUCAGAAUCCACUUGGUUUUAUUUAUUUUUUAAAUAAUAAAUUUAUUUUUUAUUGGUGUUCAAUUUGCCAACAUACAGAAUAACACCCAGUGCUCCUUCCGUCAAGUGCCCCCCUUAGUGCCCGUCACCCAUUCACCCCCAUCCCCGCCCUCCUCCCCUUCCACCACCUCUAGUUCUUUUCCCAGAGUUAGGAGUCUUCAUGUUCUGUCUCCCUUUCUGAUAUUUCCUACCCAUUUCUUCUCCCUUCCCUUCUGUUCCCUUUCACUAUUAUUUAUAUUCACUGGGUUUUAUCUCAGAUCUCUGUCUGCUCCUUCUCCAACUUUUGUUCUCUGUCUCUAACGCUGGUGGACAUGGCUUUUUCUCCAGUGCUUCUUACUUCCUCUUAUUCCAUUCACUCAUAGAGAAACUCAUUUACUCUUUUGGCUUUAAUUGCCACCUGUAUGUUGUAGAUGACUAAAAAUCAGAACAUGCAUCCUAAUUUUGCUCUCAAAUACCAAAACAUCCACCUGACAAGAAGCACAUCAAAUUUGUGGUGCCUUUCCAUGUAUGAGUUGUUUCCAUUUCAACAGAUAUUAACACUUCAUCCAAGCACUCAAACUAGCAACCUGACCCAAAUAUUCUAAUUUUCUUUCAAAUACAUUCAGUUCUCUCUUUCCACCUUCACUAUCUGGGCCCAAGAUCAACCACCUCUCAUCUACACUUCUUGAAUGCUCAGUCUAUCUGCCUUUUCUCUUUAGCUCUCUAACCUAAUCUUCACAAUUCAAUUAGAUAGAUUUUGAAGAAACAAUUGAAUACUUUAGUAAUUGCCAGCGAAAACAUUCUUCAGUCAGUUAUUAGCAUGACUAGAAUGACUAGCAUGGCUAGUCAGCCUCAUCUCAACUUAGCACCUGCUUUUUCCUUCCUUCUGCUUAUUUCAUAUCACACUCUCUGUUCCUCCUAUAGUUUACUCAAACUGGUCUGUCCUGUUUUCAAAAGGGUCCUGUUCUCAACUACAACUGUUAUAUUACAUCAUCCUGGAAUCUCCCUUCUACUUUCCUAAUCUGGUAACCACUCUCCUUCACUCUUUCCCUGACCCUCUGCUCCUCUCCUGUCAACAUUACUCCUUGAACGAUAUCAACCAUGUCCACAGUUUUAGAUGCCAUCUACAUUCACCAGCAUCUCCCACAUUUGUAUGCCUGGGAUCAAUUUCUGCCAUGAACUCCAGACUCAGGUUAACCACCUAUUUUGAUUGCUUAUGUAAUAGGCAUUUCAAACUGAGCAGUCAAAACAACAUAAAACAUCCCCCAUUCUGCUUUCUGCCGUGCAUCUUUCUCCAGUUCAACAAAUGUCUCUGUCAUUGACCAGUCCAAAACCCUAGGGGUCAUCUUGAUGCCUCCCCUUCUCUCACUUCUUAGAUCCAACCUACCAACAAAUCUUAUCUUUUUAAUCUUCAAAAUAUAUCCUAACUAUGCCUUCUAUUUAACUUUAUUCCUAACACUGUGGUCUAGCACACAAGCAACUAUCCCUUGGAUUAUUCUAUUAUUCUCCCUCUGGUCUCUCUGAUUCCUUUCUUCCAUUUUUACAGCCUAUUCUUCACACAAUAACCAGAGUAAUUAAACAAAACAAAAUGAAAAUCAGCCAUUCUAUUGUGUUACAUCUUGUUCAAAACCUGCAUUGCCUCUCCACCACACACACAAUAAGAUUCCAAAUCCUUAGCAUACUCUAGAAGGCCUUCCACAAUCUGGCCCUGCAUCUUCUCCAAUGCCAUUUCUACUACUUCACUUUUCAUUCAUCAUAUCCUUGAUCCUCAAACCACAAGGCAAACUUUCUACCACAUGAUAUAUAUACAAGAUUUUCUUUCUACCUGGUAAACUUUUCUCGCAUAUCUUGACAAGGUUUGCUCCCCUGUUUGAUUCAGGUCUCUGCUCAAAUCACAUGUCUCAGAAAGGUCUUCACUGACCACACUUUUAAAAACAGUACCAUGCAUACUCUAUCCUUUACUCUGUUUAUCCUUCAUAGUCCUGUUAGUCCUGUUACUUUAUUAUAUAUUUACAUGUAUGUCUGUCUCUCUAUCUCUCUAUCUCUAGUAUGUAAGACACCUGAGGAAAGAUAGUUGGACCUUUUGUUCUCUCCUCAAACCUCAGAGUCUGGAGGAAUGCAUUGCAAACAUUCACUAGUUAUUACUUGAAUGAGUGCACACAUGCAGAAAUUAAUAGAUGAGUGAAUGAAUGAACUUCCUAGAUCUUGAUCUCAAGGAGAGCAAAAAGAAUAGACAAACAUGUAAACAAAUAAAAGCAAUAGAGUAAUAUAUGUGCUAAUAUGGUUAUUUUUAGGGACACAGGAUAUUAGAACUUGAAAGAACUUUAUAUAUCUUCGAAAACUGCAACUCAGGAUCCCUGGGUGGCGCAGCGGUUUGGCGCCUGCCUUUGGCCCAGGGCACGAUCCUGGAGACCCGGAUCGAAUCCCACGUCAGGCUCCCGGUGCAUGGAGCCUGCUUCUCCCUCUGCCUAUGUCUCUGCCUCUCUCUCUCUCUCUGUGACUAUCAUAAAUAAAAAUAAAUAAAUAAAAAUUGAAAACUGCAACUCUAAAUUUUCUGGAAAAUAAAAAUUGCACAGUUAGCCAGUAACUUUUCUAUAGCCCCAGGAAUCCAAACAAUGGUUUUCCUGCAAUAACCUAACAUCAUUUGGAAAAUACUGCAUUUAACAUUGUUAUAAGUCACCCUACAAUUCUUUUGAUUACAAGGAAGCAAAAAGAAAAAUCCUCUCUUGAGAAACAUUUGGUAUUCAAAAUGGCAUUUUGAAAUCUGAAUUAGGGUACAUUUUUAAAAAGCUGUGAUGACUAAGGAAAUAUAAUUUAAUAACUCACAAAGCAUAUUGGAUGAUUUGUUUAUUAGAGUAAUUCCAGAUGCCUAAAAUAAGCAGGAUUUGGAAAAACCUUGGCACAGGAGAGGUUAGAGGGACAUGAGGUUGAGAGAAUAUGUCAGAGAAGGUCCUCAACCUCAUCUGAGGUAGAAAGCUUCCCUUUGUGAGAGGUCAAAGUGUACACCAAACACCGAGGGGUUCUACAACCAGUGAAAUGACUAAAAAAUGCUACAAGUUUGAAGGGAUCUUAAUCACACCACCUGCAUGCACACACACUCUACAGGAUUAAUGUUCACAGUCAUCUAAAUUUC
rnacentral:lncRNA from 1 species